GUUUGACAAGGCGAGAGGCUUUGAGGCCUUGCUGAUAUUGACAGUGCAACCACUUGCUUUCUUGUCGAUGCGUUCUUGCACGUUGGCGGAUAAACACAGCGGAUCAUAUUUGUUGUCAGACU
rnacentral:tRNA from 1 species